CCAAUGCAUAGCCCUAGGGGUGUUGCCUCACACCUUUAUCUAGGUUCGGGUGGUCCAAAGUAGGUUCGGAUGAGGAGGUAGCCUCUUCAUCAGGAGGCAACCUCUUCAGCCAUAAAGUGAAAAAUGUGAGAGAGAAAGAGAAAAACCAAAUCAGCUUUUGAGAGAAAGACAUAUUAAUGGGACCAUAACAUGGCAUGCAUAUGUCAAAAGUUUUAUCCAAGCCUAGUUGGACAGCUGCCUCCAUUGCUCAUGCCCUUAUGUCUCCAACGCCCACCGUCCCCACACUCGUCCUUCCCCUUCCCAACCUCCGCCCACCUCCUUCCCUCCGGCGGCUGGCCGCACCUCCUUCCCCCCGGCGGCUGGCUGCGUCCCUGCGCCGCCUCCUCUCGCGUGGCAGAACCGCUUCUCUAUCCAAAUCCCUACUCCUCCCUCAAAAAAAUCUUCACCAUCCCCGCGUCCCCCUUUCUUCCUCUCUCCCUCACCUGGCUCCUGCCACUCCCACUGAUGCAAGACUACCCCUGCCUCACAGAGCUUGGGGAUAAAUCAAGGCGGCGUGUGGGUCGGGGAGAGGGAAGGAGGCGGGCAGGAGCAUGGUUGUGGAGGCCUCGCGGCGAGCGGCGAGGUCGGCUGGCGCCUGCCCUCGUCCUCCAUCCGGCACAGCUACGGCGUUCCCGCACGGCACCCGUUCCCCCGCACCACCGCACGCACCAACUACCCCGCGAAAUCAGCAGCUCAUCCCCGCAGGUCAUCCACUCUGCCUCUUUGCGGUUCUUGCCAGGGAAAAACCGCGCCACCUCCACCGCGAAUCCACCAGGGGCGACUCCCACCGUGUCCUUCUUUUCUCUUUCCUGCCUCUAUUUGAUUUUGUGUUCUUUAACGUUUCUUAAUUUUUUCCUGGUCUUAACUUGCCCUUUUUAUCGGAUCUUUGUUAGCUUGUGGGGUGGCUGUGUGAUUAGACAAAUGGAUUUGAGGUUGGAUUUCCUUGUUGCCUCCGUAAGUUGGAAUUGAGGUCGAAUUUGCUGUACGCGAUACGGUGCUGGUCCUUGGAGGCGACCCCAUCCCUGCGUAUCAGUAUCACGCACAAGAGGUCAGGGAGAGCUGAGGUCCCAGGAGAGGACUGGAGCUCCUCCCGGCCGCGCGGCGUUUCUCCCAACCGUCGCCGCGCGUGAUUCCUCUCGGUGGCGCGCCAUUCUCGUGCCGUCGGCCGCUCGCUCUUCCUCCCGACGUCAGACCGCCCGACUCCUGAUUAGGCCCUAAGUCACCGCAGCCCAAUCUCGCCAGUCGUCUCCAUGAUUUUUGGACUUCACUAUCUUGCUUUGUGUUCUGCUCCGUCCAGAUGUUUUUGUGGAUUUUGUGCUAAUGGUUAGUAUUGAUUAGCAUGGCAGCAAAACAGCUACGUAUUUAUGUAUUCUCCUCAGAAAGGAAGCAAUCGUUUUUGUUCAGCUUUGUUUAGCGCACUGGAUGUGCCUAUGUGAGGGAGAUCAGUUCUUCUUCUUAGAUCUCUUCUAAUUUUCUCCAGCCUCCAGGGAUUUAGUUUUGAUCUGGUCCAAACAUACUGCUGAAACUUUUGGGUCGUUGACUCCGGAUGCCCUCUAUGGAUCAUUAUUUGUUGAAUUUCUUGCCAAUCACCCGAAUGGUAUGUACUAAGUGUGUUUCUCAAUUUUACAUUCCCCUUUUUUUCCUGAUCUGCACUUUGCUUUUUUUUUUCUGACCUUACUCCGUUAAAUUAUGGGGUUUGCUGUGUACAUGGAUUUUAGGUUGAUGUUUCAAAAUCGAUCAAACAAAAAGCAAGUGGUGAUGAGUUGAUAUGAAAGGGGGAUUUAUGUUUUGCCCCGGUUUACUUAUGGCCUUUAUGCCACGGUGGCGCUUGCCACUGCAUCCUCACCACCACUUAUUUCCGGCCAUAGUCUGGUCAAUCCUGGUCAGCUGAGGGCAAAUGGAGACAGGGGUAGCGGCGGGUAAGCAGCAGCUGAACAAGCGUCACCACGGCGGCGACCUGAUUUGGGUCAUGGUGCACUGUUUGGUAUCGUUAUUUUGCUUGCAUUCAUCAAUAACAUAUUGUGGAAUUUUCUUAAUAUGACAGCCUACUAUCGGUAUCGGCCGUAUCGAUUGGUGCACAGCAUACACGGGGCUGGCUUUGACGGAAUUGAAAGAAACACAGCUCCCCUUGUUAAUGGACGCGUUCCCGUGCUGGAUAGAAAUAAGCCAACAUAUUUAAUAGAUACAAGCUUGUCGAGGAGUUUGCCACAGAUGCCUAUGCAGGCUGAUCCCUACCUAAGAUUAACCAGAAAAGAUCGCCACAGGAGGCUCUGUGAUGAUCGCAUUUUCCUACAGAAUAGUUUGUGUUUCCGAGUUUUUUUUUAGAUAGCCGCUGUGUAGUUUGAUCCUCAUUCCUACAUUUUAUGUUUCGGAAAAUCUGACCGUACCGUGUGUUAAUUGUCAUUUUAUGUAAAAAAGCAUACCGUGACGUAUGAUGGUUGGCGUUCAAUAAAUCUGCCUUGCGUGGAUGAGCAAAUUUAAUGUUUUUUUUA